GAUGAACGCUAGCGGCAGGCCUAACACAUGCAAGUCGAGGGGUAACAGGAAAGCUUGCUUUUGCUGACGACCGGCGCACGGGUGCGUAACGCGUAUGCAACCUACCUCAUACAGGAGAAUAGCCCUUGGAAACGAGGAUUAAUACUCCAUGGUAUCAUUUUUUCGCAUGUUAAAAUGAUUAAAGAAUUUCGGUAUGAGAUGGGCAUGCGUCCCAUUAGCUAGUUGGUGAGGUAACGGCUCACCAAGGCGACGAUGGGUAGGGGGCCUGAGAGGGUGGUCCCCCACACUGGUACUGAGACACGGACCAGACUCCUACGGGAGGCAGCAGUGAGGAAUAUUGGUCAAUGGAGGCAACUCUGAACCAGCCAUGCCGCGUGAAGGAUGACGGCCCUAUGGGUUGUAAACUUCUUUUAUAUGGGAAGAAACUUAUCUACGUGUAGAUAACUGACGGUACCAUACGAAUAAGGAUCGGCUAACUCCGUG
rnacentral:rRNA from 1 species